GCUCUAUUGACUAUAUAAGGAUAUACAGCUAUAUCUUUGAAGUGACGACGACUAUUCCUUUCGACAUGUAAUCGCCGUUUAAACCCAGCCAGGAAGAAGCAUUCCUUCAUCGCAGUCUCUCACUCUACACUUACUUCGCCUUCGUCCCAGGAUGAUAUCGGGAUAUAAUGAAUUAUGUACUACGUGGACGUCAGUUUGGACUGUUGGUAUAUAUAUAAUUUUAGAUUUUCCAAGGUAUUUUGGAAGUGGCUGAAUUACUGCGGCUCCCCCAAGCUUCACGAUGAUCAACUUUGUGUAUUAGCUGCCGCAUCAGCACCUGGAUGAUAGGACAGUUUUCAAUUACAAUAAAUUACUUAAUUUUU